GCAAUGACAACCAGGGCAAACCCCUAUUUCGUUAGAAAGGUCUAACAGGAGCCAAUGGCUGGAAGCUGAAGCCAGACAAAAUCAGACUGAAAAUAACACCUUUCAGGUACAACAGUAAAAAGGCCAGACAAUGUUAAUGGCUUAUGGAGGGAAUGCACACAAACACAAGGACUACUGCAGGAACUGUGUGCAACAGAAACCUCUCCAAGGUAGCUCGACACAUUGGGAACUAUUUAACCAAGGUCACAGCAAAAGAGCUUUCCAGCGAGUGAGAAGAAGGUAUAAAAGGGAGACAAUGACAUCACUGGGGGUCCUCACUCUCCCUAC